AAUAUUGCACAAUGGAGGAAACUCUGAUGCAGCGACGCCGCGUGAACGAUGACGGCCUUCGGGUCGUUAAGUUCUGUCAUGGGGGACGAUAAAGACGGUACUCGUGCACGAAGCCGCGGCUAACUAUGUGCCAGCAGCCGCGGUAAUAUAUAGGGGGCGGGCGUUGUCCGGAAUUAGUGGGCGUAAAGGGUUCGUAGGCGGGUUUUUAAGUCAGAUGUGAAAGGUCACGGCUCAACCGUGGUAAGCAUUUGAAACAGAAAGACUUGAGUUAAGGAGAGGAAAGUGGAAUUCCUAGUGUAGCGGUGAAAUGCGUAGAUAUUAGGAGGAAUACCAGUGGCGAAGGCGACUUUCUGGACUUAUACUGACGCUGAGGAACGAAAGCGUGGGGAGCAAACAG
rnacentral:rRNA from 1 species